rnacentral:rRNA from 1 species
GAUGAACGCUGGCGGCGUGCCUAAUACAUGCAAGUCGAGCGAACAGACGAGGAGCUUGCUCCUCUGACGUUAGCGGCGGACGGGUGAGUAACACGUGGAUAACCUACCUAUAAGACUGGGAUAACUUCGGGAAACCGGAGCUAAUACCGGAUAAUAUAUUGAACCGCAUGGUUCAAUAGUGAAAGACGGUUUUGCUGUCACUUAUAGAUGGAUCCGCGCCGCAUUAGCUAGUUGGUAAGGUAACGGCUUACCAAGGCAACGAUGCGUAGCCGACCUGAGAGGGUGAUCGGCCACACUGGAAAUGAGACACGGUCCAGACUCCUAAGGGAGGCAGCAGUAGGGAAUCUUCCGCAAUGGGCGAAAGCUUGACGGAGCAACGCCGCGGGAGUGAUGAAGGUCUUCGGAUCGUAAAACUCUGUUAUUAGGGAAGAACAAAUGUGUAAGUAACUAUGCACGUCUUGACGGUACCUAAUCAGAAAGCCACGGCUAACUACGUG